GCCAGUGUGGUGUAGAGGUUUGAGCAUAGGACUAGGACUCUGGAGAUUGGGGUUCGAUUCCCUGCUCGGCCA